AUGGUGUUACAAGGAAUGGUGGAAUGGGAGGAGUGGGAGUGGGAGGAGCAAGUGCAAGCCAUGCCGUGUUUGGUGGAGCUUUCCCUCAAUAAUUGCAAAUUGACCUGUGUUCCUCCCGGCCUUGCCUCCAAUGCGAGAGCUUUGAAAAAAUUAGUCAUAGACCACGUGCAGAAUCUCAGCUACCUUGAGAAUUUUCCUUUUGUUGUUGAACUUAGAGUGCAUGGAAUCCCUGACCUGGAGAGGAUCACCAAUUUCCCCAAUAUGCAGAAGCUUACUAUCACCAAGUGCCAAAAGCUGAAGGUUCUAGAGUGUAUCCCUGCACUUGUGAGGUUGGUCCUGGAGGAUUACGCCAUGGAAAAGCUUCCUGAAUACAUGCGGUACAUAAAGCCAAUGCAUUUGCAGUUAUUCUGCAGACCAUGGCUGCUCGCUUCAGUAGCUGCGGGACAAUCUGGUCUCGAGUGGGAUAAGUUUAGGCAUGUCGAGCAUGUUAAGGUAUAUGCACGUGCUAGAGGAAGGAAAUGGUACGUGAUAUACACAAGUGGAGACACUGGCAAGUUCGAUUCAAAUAUUAGCAGCUCUACGGUGUUUGAAGAUGACGUAUAA
rnacentral:rRNA from 1 species